UACGAAGGGGGCUAGCGUUGCUCGGAAUCACUGGGCGUAAAGCGCGCGUAGGCGGGUUGUUAAGUCAGGGGUGAAAUCCUGGAGCUCAACUCCAGAACUGCCUUUGAUACUGGCGAUCUCGAGUCCGGGAGAGGUGAGUGGAACUGCGAGUGUAGAGGUGAAAUUCGUAGAUAUUCGGAAGAACACCAGUGGCGAAGGCGGCUCACUGGCCCGGUACUGACGCUGAGGUGCGAAAGCGUGGGGAGCAAACAGG
rnacentral:rRNA from 1 species